AGCAGCCGCGGUAAUUCCAGCUCCAAUAGCGUAUAUUAAAGUUGUUGCAGUUAAAAAGCUCGUAGUUGAAUUUCGGGAUCAAUAUGUUGGUCGUGCCUUGGUACGUACUGGCAUUAUUGGUUUCUACCUUCUGAAGAACCUCGAUGUCAUUAAUUUGGCGUCUUGGGGAAUCAGGACUGUUACUUUGAAAAAAUUAGAGUGUUUAAAGCAGGCUCGCGCUUGAAUACAUUAGCAUGGAAUAAUGAAAUAGGACGUUUGAUUCUAUUUUGUUGGUUUCUAGGAUCGACGUAAUGAUUAAUAGGGAUAGUUGGGGGCAUUAGUAUUCAAUUGUCAGAGGUGAAAUUCUUGGAUUUAUUGAAGACUAACUACUGCGAAAGCAUUUGCCAAGGAUGUUUUCAUUAAUCAAGAACGAAAGUUAGGGAUCGAAGACGAUCAGAUACCGUCGUAGUCUUAACCACAAACUAUAGACCGACUAGGGAUCGGAUGAUGUUAAUUUUUUUAAUGUACUCAUUCGGCGCCU
rnacentral:misc_RNA from 1 species